AGAGUUUGAUCAUGGCUCAGAUUGAACGCUGGCGGCAGGCCUAACACAUGCAAGUCGAACGGUAACAGGAAGCAGCUUGCUGCUUUGCUGACGAGUGGCGGACGGGUGAGUAAUGUCUGGGAAACUGCCUGAUGGAGGGGGAUAACUACUGGAAACGGUAGCUAAUACCGCAUAACGUCGCAAGACCAAAGAGGGGGACCUUAGGGCCUCUUGCCAUCGGAUGUGCCCAGAUGGGAUUAGCUAGUAGGUGGGGUAACGGCUCACCUAGGCGACGAUCCCUAGCUGGUCUGAGAGGAUGACCAGCCACACUGGAACUGAGACACGGUCCAGACUCCUACGGGAGGCAGCAGUGGGGAAUAUUGCACAAUGGGCGCAAGCCUGAUGCAGCCAUGCCGCGUGUAUGAAGAAGGCCUUCGGGUUGUAAAGUACUUUCAGCGGGGAGGAAGGGAGUAAAGUUAAUACCUUUGCUCAUUGACGUUACCCGCAGAAGAAGCACCGGCUAACUCCGUGCCAGCAGCCGCGGUAAUACGGAGGGUGCAAGCGUUAAUCGGAAUUACUGGGCGUAAAGCGCACGCAGGCGGUUUGUUAAGUCAGAUGUGAAAUCCCCGGGCUCAACCUGGGAACUGCAUCUGAUACUGGCAAGCUUGAGUCUCGUAGAGGGGGGUAGAAUUCCAGGUGUAGCGGUGAAAUGCGUAGAGAUCUGGAGGAAUACCGGUGGCGAAGGCGGCCCCCUGGACGAAGACUGACGCUCAGGUGCGAAAGCGUGGGGAGCAAACAGGAUUAGAUACCCUGGUAGUCCACGCCGUAAACGAUGUCGACUUGGAGGUUGUGCCCUUGAGGCGUGGCUUCCGGAGCUAACGCGUUAAGUCGACCGCCUGGGGAGUACGGCCGCAAGGUUAAAACUCAAAUGAAUUGACGGGGGCCCGCACAAGCGGUGGAGCAUGUGGUUUAAUUCGAUGCAACGCGAAGAACCUUACCUGGUCUUGACAUCCACGGAAGUUUUCAGAGAUAAGAAUGUGCCUUCGGGAACCGUGAGACAGGUGCUGCAUGGCUGUCGUCAGCUCGUGUUGUGAAAUGUUGGGUUAAGUCCCGCAACGAGCGCAACCCUUAUCCUUUGUUGCCAGCGGUCCGGCCGGGAACUCAAAGGAGACUGCCAGUGAUAAACUGGAGGAAGGUGGGGAUGACGUCAAGUCAUCAUGGCCCUUACGACCAGGGCUACACACGUGCUACAAUGGCGCAUACAAAGAGAAGCGACCUCGCGAGAGCAAGCGGACCUCAUAAAGUGCGUCGUAGUCCGGAUUGGAGUCUGCAACUCGACUCCAUGAAGUCGGAAUCGCUAGUAAUCGUGGAUCAGAAUGCCACGGUGAAUACGUUCCCGGGCCUUGUACACACCGCCCGUCACACCAUGGGAGUGGGUUGCAAAAGAAGUAGGUAGCUUAACCUUCGGGAGGGCGCUUACCACUUUGUGAUUCAUGACUGGGGUGAAGUCGUAACAAGGUAACCGUAGGGGAACCUGCGGUUGGAUCACCU
rnacentral:rRNA from 1 species